GUCAUGUUCUCCAGCAAUCUAAAGCAAGCGAAGGAAGAAGUCGUAGGGUUAUUGGACUGGACAGACUUUCAGGAUCAGAGCUGGCACUGUUCCCUCAGUUUUCUGCUUCCUUGCUCAUCUAUGCAAGGACCACUCCUAUGCUCUGCCUUCAUCCAAUGAAGACCUGAGAGCCAGACUGAGGGCAGCCUUGGAUAGGGUGUGGAGAGUCUGGAAAGAGAGAAAGAAGGAAUGCCAAGGACAGAGAGAAGAGCAAAGAGC